rnacentral:rRNA from 1 species
GCAAGUCGAGGGGUAACAUUGUAGCUUGCUACAGAUGACGACCGGCGCACGGGUGCGUAACGCGUAUGAAACCUGCCUUUUACUGAGGGAUAGCCCAGAGAAAUUUGGAUUAAUACCUCAUAGUAUAUAUUAUCACCUGGUUAAUAUAUUAAAGCUUCGGCGGUAAAAGAUGGUCAUGCGUGACAUUAGAUUGUUGGUGAGGUAACGGCUCACCAAGUCGACGAUGUCUAGGGGUUCUGAGAGGAAGGUC